GCCCGCCUAGCUCAAUCGGAUAGAGCGUCAGACUCUUAUCCCAAAUGUAACAUGAUUUGUGAUCUGAAGGCUGCGAGUUCGACCCUCGCGGUGGGCU
rfam:Fistulina hepatica ATCC 64428 unplaced genomic scaffold FISHEscaffold_49, whole genome shotgun sequence.